UACAGAGGUCCCAAGCGUUGUUCGGAUUCACUGGGCGUAAAGGGUGCGUAGGCGGCGUGGUAAGUCGGAUGUGAAAUCUCGGAGCUUAACUCCGAAACUGCAUUCGAUACUGCCGUGCUUGAGGACUGGAGAGGAGACUGGAAUUUACGGUGUAGCGGUGAAAUGCGUAGAUAUCGUAAGGAAGACCAGUGGCGAAGGCGGGUCUCUGGACAGUUCCUGACGCUGAGGCACGAAGGCCAGGGGAGCAAACGGG
rnacentral:rRNA from 1 species